GGAAGGAUACUAUUUUGUUUGAUUGCAGAUCAUGAUUAUUACAGGUUUGAUAGAUGCAUAUUCUAGCUCGUACUUUCACAACGGACACGAUUGAAAGCAAAGGCUGUCCAGGAGGAAAAUAACGUCGUCCCAAUGUCAGGCUCACAGACUAGAGGUCUAGAGCUCAGGUGGAAAACAACGUGGACCCAAUGUCAGGCUCACAGAAUAGAGGUCUUGACCUCAUGCUUGCUCCGCCUUCGGAGGGCCUCUCCACUUGAAGUUCUCAGCGUAAGCCUUAGGCUGCAUGGUUGAAAAACAAUCCGGUUAUCACAACCAAGCCAAUGUAUUUUCAGCAACAUUGAUCAGUGAUCAGAACGAAAAAUAUAUUAAUUCAAACACAAACAUAAUUAUUCUAUUAGCACAAAACAUGGCAUAUGUGAGCCAUAUCUCACAUAUGACAGACACCAAAUGAUGCAAUUGACUACAGUAUUGCAAGUUAUCACCUUAGAAUGAAGCAUAGCAAUAGGUAAAUCAUUUCUCCAGUUCAUGCAAUAUAAAUAGAUACACUACUUUGAAAUGUCCCAAAGCAAGCUUAUUCUAGCAACUGUAUUGCUUUAAACUACCAUUUGUUUCUAUAGUAUUAACGUAAAGUACAGCUCGGUCCUAGCAGCCGUACCAAAAGCAGAAGUCCAGUCAAGCAAAGACUACUGGUAAUGAGCCAGUUCCAUCGCCUGAUUGGACCUGUGCCCGGACGGUCACU
rnacentral:lncRNA from 1 species